GGAUUAGAUACCCUGGUAGUCCACGCCGUAAACGAUGAGAACUAGCCGACUGAAGAAUUUAUUCUUUGGGUGGCGAAGCUAACGCGUUAAGUUCUCCGCCUGGGGAGUACGGUCGCAAGACUAAAACUCAAAGGAAUUGACGGGGGCCCGCACAAGCGGUGGAGCAUGCGGUUUAAUUCGAUGCAACGCGAAAAACCUUACCUACCCUUGACAUGUCUAGAAUCUCUUGGCGACAAGAGAGUGCCUUCGGGAACUAGAACACAGGUGCUGCAUGGCUGUCGUCAGCUCGUGUUG
rnacentral:rRNA from 1 species